GAUGAAGAACGUAGCGAAAUGCGAUAAGUAGUGUGAAUUGCAGAAUUCAGUGAAUCAUCGAAUCUUUGAACGCACAUUGCGCCCCUUGGUAUUCCAUGGGGCAUGCCUGUUCGAGCGUCAUUUGUACCCUCAAGCUUUGCUUGGUGUUGGGUGUUUGUCCUCUCCUUUGCGUUUGGACUCGCCUCAAAACAAUUGGCAGCCGGCGUAUUGAUUUCGGAGCGCAGUACAUCUCGCGCUUUGCACUCAUAACGACGACGUCCAAAAGUACAUUUUUACACUCUUGACCUCGGAUCAGGUAGGGAUACCCGCUGAACUUAAGCAUAUCAAUAAGCGGAGGA
rnacentral:misc_RNA from 1 species